GUAAUAUUCAUCGUUGGAUUGAAAAUUCGUCGUGACGUCCAUUCAGCGAUUCGACGCAUCGAACCUUGCGGCCACGGUAAAAAUCAGAAUGAUAUUCCUGUGGAGGAGCAAGCGAGAUCGUUCUUCUCGCGAGUCGAUCAAACGGUCAUUGAUAUGCCCUUUGGAGACGAGAGGGAGAAGCUUUUCCCGUCGAGAGUCGAGGGAAGGAUAUUCUUGCGAAGAGAAACCGGGUGCGGAGAAUUCUCUAUGAAUAUCCCGAAGACGUAUCCACUCGAAGGACGGAUGCAAAUGCGGUGGAAUGUGAAAAUAGCUGCCGCUAAGUGAGAUCGAAUUUCGUUAGCUGAUUAAGAAAAAGUUGGACGUAGCCUGUCCGCGAAGAAAUUCUAUAAAUGAACGGCGGAAGGAUAUUUCAGCGUCUCUUCUCACGAAUUUCGAUGAUUUCGAUGCGACACGGUGGUCUCGUUGGCCGCAGUCCAAUCAGAGCUUCGAAAAGAGGUUCUAGACGUCAAAAACCGAGGGCAAGUGGAACCGGGCCUCGUCUUUCGCUAAAGGUCGCACCGAGACCGGGCGAUUCUUCGGUACGUGAAUACUUAAGUUUCCACGGGGGUCCCACCGGUUACGAAACUCUGUCCGUUUCUGGUCAUUGACCAUGACAGACACGAUAUAUCCUGAUUCAUCCUGGUAUAUUCGUCUAUGCAUUUUUCUUUUUUUUUUUUUUUUUUUUUUUUUCGUGUAAACAAGGACACUCUAUCUGGUCUUAUUACGUUAUCGUUGAAAAGAUUAUAGACUCGUUUUUAUAUAUUAUCUAGAAAUACAAUUGUCGUAUGGAGCGAUAUCUUUAUCGACUCCUUUAUCUACCUUGUUAAGCUGUAGGUGAGAUCAUAGAUUUUUUUGUAUAACUUAUUUAGAAACACAAACGUUGUUCAAAGUGAAAUCUAAAGCGAUACCGAUACGCAAAGAUUAAUCCUUUUCCUUAUCUACCUUGUUGAAUUAUCGCUAAAAAGAUUAUCAUUAUUUUUUCUUUAUCGAUCAUGUAGAAACGUAGCAUAGCAUUGUUAAUUUUCCAACUUUUCAUGUAACGCAAUUUGACGACUAACAGAAAGUACUUUAAUACGAAGUACUUGAAAAAGAGAACGAACCGAUCUAUCGAGGUCUUUCGGUUUCAGCCAAUGGGAAAAAUAAAAGAAAAACGUAGCUGCGGGGAGAAGAAAUCUCGCGUAUUUAUCGGUCGAUCGAAAUCACGGCAAGGUGAACAGCCCGAAAGUAUUGGCGCUCGUUGAAAAUUCCUGUCGCAUGUCCCACGGCGCGAUGUCGAGGAAUACGUAAGCUGGUCGCUACAAGCUGGUCCACUCUAUGGAGAAAGAAGGUCGUAAGUCGAUUCGGUAAGCUUUCUCGGUUGUCCUUACGUGCUUCUUAUUCACCGUCGAUAAAUCGACGAUCUACGAUCUACGAUUCGCUUCGGUAUUAUAACGUCGUCUUCGAAUUUAUGGCCUUCUCGUCCUAGAGUUCUUCGUUCAAGAUGUCAUUUAACGAUAUCAGUUAACAUAUGGGGCGUGAGAAUAUAUACGACAGCAGGUACGCAAAGUGGACUUUGGUACGCGAAUGGAUCCUCUAUCGAAUGUUUUGCGAUUCGGGGAAAGCUCGAGCCUCUAUGGAUUUUGUGGAGCAUAGGAGGAAUAAGCGAGAUUUUGAGCAGAAGGAUCGUUGGAGGAUCGUCCCCAGUAACUAGGGUCGUGAUCGU